GACGAACGCUGGCGGCGUGCUUAACACAUGCAAGUCGAACGGAAAGGCCCUGCUUUUGUGGGGUGCUCGAGUGGCGAACGGGUGAGUAACACGUGAGUAACCUGCCCUUGACUUUGGGAUAACUUCAGGAAACUGGGGCUAAUACCGGAUAGGAGCUCCUGCUGCAUGGUGGGGGUUGGAAAGUUUCGGCGGUUGGGGAUGGAUUCGCGGCUUAUCAGCUUGUUGGUGGGGUAGUGGCUUACCAAGGCUUUGACGGGUAGCCGGCCUGAGAGGGUGACCGGCCACAUUGGGACUGAGAUACGGCCCAGACUCCUACGGGAGGAAGCAGUGGGGAAUAUUGCACAAUGGGCGGAAGCCUGAUGCAGCAACGCCGCGUGCGGGAUGACGGCCUUCGGGUUGUAAACCGCUUUCGCCUGUGACGAAGCGUGAGUGACGGUAAUGGGUAAAGAAGCACCGGCUAACUACGUG
rnacentral:rRNA from 1 species